rnacentral:rRNA from 1 species
CCUACGGGUGGCAGCAGUGAGGAAUAUUGGUCAAUGGACGAGAGUCUGAACCAGCCAAGUAGCGUGAAGGAUGACUGCCCUAUGGGUUGUAAACUUCUUUUAUAAAGGAAUAAAACGAGGCACGUGUGCCUUUUUGCAUGUACUUUAUGAAUAAGGAUAGGCUAACUCCGUGCCAGCAGCCGCGGUAAUACGGAGGAUCCGAGCGUUAUCCGGAUUUAUUGGGUGUAAAGGGAGCGUAGAUGGGUUGUUAAGUUAGUUGUGAAAGUGUGCGGCUCAACCGUAAAAUUGCAAUUGAUACUGGAAGUCUUGAGUACAGUAGAGGUAGGCGGAAUUCGUGGUGUAGCGGUGAAAUGCUUAGAUAUCACGAAGAACCCCGAUUGCGAAGGCAGCUUACUAAACUGUGACUGACAUUGAUGCUCGAAAGUGUGGGUAUCAAACAGGAUUAGAUACCCGGGUAGUC